AUGAAGAAAUGCAUUUUUUUAUUUGUUUGUUUGUUUUUUUUGCUUUUCAGAAAAAGUGCUCUCUUGAUGUACAGAAUUACUUCAAACAAAACAUUUUAAGAUUAUUGAAUUGGGAGAAAGUAUAUGUCAGCAUCUCCUAUCCUCCAGUAAGACCCAAGAGUUGGAAAGGACCUCAGAGAGCAUCUAAUUCUGUAAUUUCUUUAUUCUUUAAUUUUACACUUAGGGGAAUGGAGGCUUAGGGAGAUGAGAUGAUUUGCU
rnacentral:lncRNA from 1 species